rnacentral:rRNA from 1 species
AAUAACUGAUUGCACCAACAAAUGGUUGAUGCAAUAUUGACUCUGUCAAAUAAAAUUCUAGGUAGAAUUAUGAUAAUGACAUUGUCUGCCUAUAUGUCUUGACCAAAUUACGUGCCAGCAGUCGCGGUAAUACGUAGAAGACUAGUGUUAUUCAUCUUUAAUAGGUUUAAAGGGUACCUAGACGGUAAAUCAAGCCUUCACAGGGACUAAUUUACUAGAGUUACUUACGAGGGGGUAUUAAAGUACUGCAGGUGUAGAGAUGAAAUUCUGUCAUACCUCUUUUCAAAAGAAAAAUUAUGGCACAGGUAUAGGUGAAAGCAUCCCCUUAUGUGAUAACUGACGUUGAAGGACGAAGGCUUUGUGUCGCGAACAGGAUUAGAUACCCCAGUAGUCAAAGCAGAAAAUGAUGAAUGUCAUAGAUUAGAUAUAUAGUUUAUUCUAUAAAUGAAAAUGUAAGCAUUCCACCUCAAGAGUAAUUUGGCAACAUUGGAACUGAAAUCAUUAGACCGUUUCUGAAACCAGUAGUGAAGUAUGUUGUUUAAUUUGAUGAUCCGCAAAAAACCUUACCACAAUUUGAAUAUUUGUAUCUAUCUUUUUUUUUCGUAAAAAAAAUAAAAAGGUAAUAUAUUUACAAGCGUUGCACGGCUGUCUUCAGUUAAUGUCGCGAGACUUUGGUUAGUUCCAUUUAAUUAACGUAAACCCUUACUUUAUUUUUAUAUGAAGUAGUUCCCCGCUAUAUUGGAUAUGAUAACAGGGAC